rnacentral:rRNA from 1 species
GACGAAGGAUGCAAGCGUUAUCCGGAUUCAUUGGGUUUAAAGGGUGCGUAGGCGGAUUGGUAAGUCAGUGGUGAAAUCUCGCAGCUUAAACUGCGAAACUGACCCAUUGAUACUGCUAAUCUAGAGUACAGUUGCCGUUGGCGGAAUAUGACAUGUAGUGGUGAAAUACAUAGAUAUGUCAUAGAACACCGAUUGACUGAAGGCAGCUAACGAAGCUGUAAACUGACGCUGGAGGCAACGAAAGUGCGGGGAUCAAACAGG